GUGUGAUCAUUGAAAAUGAAGCGCUUAACAAUUUUUGCCUUGCCCUUUAUUCUUCUUCUGUUUCAUGGAUGCGAGGCACAAACGAGAAUAGAAACAAGAGUUAAAUCAUGCAUCAAACAGUGCCCAUUUAAAAAGUGCAGAAAAUGUUGUCAAAACAAAGGUUACACAUCUGGAUUGUGUAUCUUUGGGAAAUGGGUCUGCAUUUGUUGGAAAAUUGGGACAAGGCCGGGAUAAUUUGGAUGUUAUGGCUGUACUAUGAAGAUUAAAAAGACAACUCGUGUCGACAGCAUGUUAAAGAACAGAAGCACACAUCAGUAUGUACAUAUUGUGGACAUUACAUCAGAC